GAUGAAGAACGUAGCGAAAUGCGAUACUUGGUGUGAAUUGCAGAAUCCCGUGAACCAUCGAGUCUUUGAACGCAAGUUGCGCCUCAAGCCAUUAGGUUGAGGGCACGUCUGCCUGGGCGUCACAUAUCGUUGCCUGAUGCCAGUUUCCUCGUGAUGGGUGACUGUGCAGGGCGAAUGAUGGCUUCCCGUGAGCAUUGUUGCCUCAUGGUUGGUUGAAAAUUGAGUCCUUGGUAGGGAGCGCCGUGAUAGAUGGUGGUUGAGUGACGAACGAGACCCAAUCAUGUGAGACCCCUACCGAAUUUGGCCUUCAUGACCCACAUGCGUCUUUGGAACGCUCAUGACGAGACCUCAUGUCAGGCGGGGCUACCCGCUGAGUUUAAGCAUAUCAAUAAGCGGAGGA
rnacentral:misc_RNA from 1 species